rnacentral:lncRNA from 1 species
CGGUUCAUAACCGGCCCAAUGCUAGAGAGAGAGAGAGAGAGAGAGAAUCGACACCUUGCCUUUUCCUUAUUAGAUUAUGAUUUGCUUUCCAUAUUUGUAUUUCCUUUCUUUAGUCUUUCCAUUAUUCUAUGACGGUGUAAUUCCCUAUAUAUAAAGGGCUCCUUAUGUUUAUGAAUAACACAGAAACAUAGAUUACAUUCUCCAGUUUCACAACACGUUAUAAGCACGAUUACUCUAAAUCCCUAAGCUAAACAAACCCUAGCCGGCGAAUCCAUAAUCCCCUCGACGAUAAACCCUAACCGUUGAGAACUCCCGAUCACGAACCCUAAACCUAAUACUCAUCAUGUUCCCGUUCGUGACACGAUCCCAGCUCACGACCUCAGACCGUCUCAG